rnacentral:rRNA from 1 species
ACGCUCGACACCUACGGAGGCAGCAGUGGGGAAUAUUGCACAAUGGGGGAAACCCUGAUGCAGCGACGCCGCGUGAAGGAAGAAGUAUUUCGGUAUGUAAACUUCUAUCAGCAGGGAAGAAAAUGACGGUACCUGAGUAAGAAGCACCGGCUAAAUACGUGCCAGCAGCUGCGGUAAUCUGAGGCGGGCUGGCAAGGC